ACGGCGACACCGAUGCGAGCCAUACGGCCUGCCCGAGGUAGUCAUGAAAGGUUUUGCUGAUAUUCCCAGUGGCCCUGCCUGCCCCUAUGUCCUCAGGAGGGGUCUGCUGGGAACCCCAGCUGUGGCGCUCCCAGCGCGGGAAGUGGAGGGAGACACAGACCCCUAAAAGUCACUAAGGUUGAUGUGGAACCUUGUCUUGAGUUGAAGUAGGCGGCACAGCUACACCACCUCAUGCUUUCAAGAGAACACUGCACUUUGCCUGCUACAUCCUCGGACAUUAUUUAUUAUUAUUUUUUUUUUUUUUCCACUUUAAUGUGUGGGGAAUUCUAAAUGGCUACAGCUGUUCACAUGUGGCCAAGACCCCCGAAGCCGAGACCAGACACUGACCUUGGGAAGAUUGAUUGUAUAUGUGCUUUAGCUGUGGAGGGAUUCUCCUGCUUUACAAAACUUGAAUUUGUGAAUAGCCUUAUUUAUAGAUGUGUGCCUGAAAUGCUGUGAGGAUCACACUGCCAUAGAUGAAUGUGUGUGUGUGUGUGU